CACCACGCCGCCACUCCGCCGGAGUCGCCAGUAAGUUUCUAUUACUGAACUCAUCUAUACUGAGACCAAGCAAACCAAUUUUGUAGCCGUGGGAGCCACCCGUCGCGCCUUCCGCCGCGGGAGCCGCCGUGCCCUUCGCCGCGGGGGAGCCGCCGCGUGAACCGCCCGCCACGCCCUUCGCUGCCCGAGCCGCUCAGCUUGGCCUCCGCCGCAGGGACAGCUUGCCCUCAUGCCACCCAACACGGUCUGCAGUCCGUCACAACCCGAUAACUCACGCCAUACACUACAGGGUGGUCACCAACAUGAAUCUGAGGCGCUGCCAUUAUGCGCGGUUAUGGAUAAACGGCGACUGUUUUGGAUAAUCUGGUCUAAGAGCUUCUUGAGAAAAAAAAUCAUAAUCACGCAGUUUGGCAACAACAAUGCUGAGAUUAAGUUCAGCAAGGGAGCUGAACAACCUUUUACAGUGUCCACUCUCACAAAUACUCUGGCCUGGUAAACAACAAGGUAGCCAGCUGUUAAUAAAGACAAGCCCAUGAGGAGAAAUGGAUAUAAUGUUAACUCAUGUUCAACUGUUUUGCCUUUUCCCCUGAAGCUUUGCAACUGCGAGGCUCCAGUUUCUGUUGAUCUUAAUGUAAGACCAGGAGAUGAAGUGAUGGAGAUGAAUUUAGCAUUUUAACAAAUCAAGCGGUCAAGCCACCAAAUCAUGAUCCUGUAAUGUUGCAGUACAACUUCGAAAGGAUGAGAUACUUUUGGUUGCAUGCUUAACGACAACUAUUUGGUACCACUCAAACUGGACACCGAAGCAAUUUUGAACUCAUGUCAAACAUGUUUGUUGUUUCCUGCAAUUUUUUCCUUUUAUUUCUGCACGAACUCCUCAGUAUGUACUUCCUGUUGCUAUAUAGUUUUUCCAUAUGCAAUCUGUGGACCAUCACACUCUGAAGUACAGUCGAUGGCUCUAUAUUUUUUAACUUGUCAGCUACCUUUAAAGCAAAUGUGACGAUGAAAACUUAGCAUCAAUGCACUUUUCUAUAUAUUAUGUU